rnacentral:rRNA from 1 species
CCUACGGGAGACAGCAGUGGGGAAUAUUGCACAAUGGGGGAAACCCUGAUGCAGCGACGCCGCGUGAGUGAAGAAGUAUUUCGGGAUGUAAAGUUCUAUCAGCAGGGAAGAAAAUGACGGUACCUGAUGAAGAAGCCUCGGCUAACUACGUGCCAGCAGCCGCGGUAAUACGUAGGGGGCAAGCGUUAUCCGGAUUUACUGGGUGUAAAGGGAGCGGAGACGGCAGAACAAGUCUGGAGUGAAAUGCCGGGGCUUAACCCCGGGACUACUUUGGAAACUGUGCAGCUAGAGUGCAGGAGAGGUAAGUGGAAUUCCUAGUGUAGCGGUGAAAUGCGUAGAUAUUAGGAGGAACACCAGUGGCGAAGGCAGCUUACUGGACUGUAACUGACGUUGAGGCUCGAAAGCGUAGGGAGCAAACAGGAUUAGAUACCCGUGUAGUC